rnacentral:pre_miRNA from 1 species
AAUAGAAUACCUAGAUCAUAUGGUAGAUGUAUAUUUAACUUUUUAAGAAAUUGCCAAGUUGUUUUCCAAAGUGGUUGUGCCAUUCUUCAUUCCCAGCAGCAGC